GUGGGGAAUAUUGGACAAUGGGCGAAAGCCUGAUCCAGCCAUGCCGCGUGUGUGAAGAAGGUCUUCGGAUUGUAAAGCACUUUAAGUUGGGAGGAAGGGCAGUAAGUUAAUACCUUGCUGUUUUGACGUUACCGACAGAAUAAGCACCGGCUAACUUCGUGCCAGCAGCCGCGGUAAUACGAAGGGUGCAAGCGUUAAUCGGAAUUACUGGGCGUAAAGCGCGCGUAGGUGGUUUUGUAAGUUGGAGGUGAAAUCCCCGGGCUCAACCUGGGAACUGCCUCCAAAACUGCAGGACUAGAGUACAGUAGAGGGUAGUGGAAUUUCCUGUGUAGCGGUGAAAUGCGUAGAUAUAGGAAGGAACACCAGUGGCGAAGGCGAAUACCUGGACUGAUACUGACACUGAGGUGCGAAAGCGUGAGGAGCAAACAGGAUUAGAUACCCCAGUAGUCC
rnacentral:rRNA from 1 species